rnacentral:misc_RNA from 1 species
GAACGCACCUUGCGCCCUUUGGCUAUUCUGAAGGGCAUGCCUGUUUGAGUAUCAACUCACCCUCAAACUCUAAGUUUGGUAUUGGAAGAAGAGGCUUCGGCCUCCCUUCUGCAAACCAUUGGCAGUGGCUCAAGCUAUAGCAACGUAGUAAGCACAUAUUCGUUGUAAUGUAGUUGGAGACGUUCGCCAGAACCCCAUACUUUCUAAGUUUGACCUCAGAUCAGGUAGGGAUACCCCCUGAACUUAAG